rnacentral:rRNA from 1 species
UAGGGAAUCUUCCACAAUGGGCGCAAGCCUGAUGGAGCAACGCCGCGUGUGUGAUGAAGGGUUUCGGCUCGUAAAACACUGUUAUAAGAGAAGAGCGGCACUGAGAGUAACUGUUCAGUGUGUGACGGUAUCUUACCAGAAAGGAACGGCUAAAUACGUG